rnacentral:rRNA from 1 species
ACUCCGGUUGAUCCUGCCGGACCCGACUGCUAUCAGAAUGAGAUUAAGCCAUGCGAGUCAACGUAGCAAUACGUGGCACACGGCUCAGUAACACGUAGUCAACAUAACCAGAGGACGUGGAUAAACUCGGGAAACUGAGGCUAAACCGCGAUAGACCAAGAUACCUGGAAUGGUUUUUGAUCAAAAUCUAUAUGGCCUUUGGAUUGGACUGCGACCGAUCAGGCUGUUGGUGAGGUAAUGGCCCACCAAACCUGUAACCGGUACGGGCUCUGAGAGGAGGAGCCCGGAGAUGGGUACUGAGAAAAGGACCCAGGCCCUAUGGGGCGCAGCAGGCGCGAAACCUCUGCAAUAGGCGAAAGCCUGACAGGGUUAUUCUGAGUGACUUUCGCUAAGAAAGUCUUUUGACAUCUCUAAAAAUGGUGUAGAAUAAGGGGUGGGCAAGUCUGGUGUCAGCCGCCGCGGUAAUACCAGCACCCCGAGUGGUCGGGACGAUUAUUGGGCCUAAAGCAUCCGUAGCCGGUUUUACAAGUCCUCCGUUAAAUCCAACUGCUUAACAGAUGGGCCGCGGAGGAUACUAUAAGACUAGGAGGCAGGAGAGGCAAGCGGUACUCAGUGGGUAGGGGUAAAAUCCUCUGAUCCAUUGAAGACCACCAGUGGCGAAGGCGGCUUGCCAAUACGCGCUCGACGGUGAGGGAUGAAAGCUGGGGGAGCAAACCGGAUU